CGAUUCCAUCUAUCGUUUCCGCCGCCGCCGCCGCUAAAAAACUCCAUCGAUCCCCAUCCUUGCUUGCCCACUCCCAUCGAUCGUUGCCACCGCCGCCGCCGCCGUCCGACGGGGGAGACGUCGCCGCCGCCGCCGCCGCCGUCCGAGGGGGAGACGUCGCCGCCGCCGCUGCAAGGUAUGGCGGUUUGAAUCCCGCCCCCGCCUCUGCAAGGCAGGGCGGUUUCAAUCCCACCGCCGCCGAACUCCGGGAAUCGCCGCCGCCAAGUCUUCAGGGCAGGGCGGUUUCAAACCCUGCCGACGAACUCCGGGAUACGCAUAAUCGUCGCUGCCGCCCCCUCCCCCGGCUGCCCCAUGGUCUUCUAUCUCUCCCAACUCCGCUAUCGCGCCCCGUCUUCCGUCUCUGCAUGAAUCGCUGUUGUGGCAGCCACUCCCCAUGGCGGCCAUCCGGGCACACCGUGUCCGGGAUGAUGGAGGUGAUGUCGGCCAGUUCCCUGUUUUCGUUGGCAUCUUCUGCGAUGGGACCCGUGGGGGCAGGUCGCACGCUGCUCAUCUGCGUCGAUGGCGUCGGCGUCGUCCUUCCCCUGCCAAGCAUGGCGGCUCCUUGGCUGGAUCACAGUGAUGAUACAGUUGGCUCGGCGGUGGCUAGGGAUCUCGCAGGCUGGCGUUUAUUUGAUGUCUGGGUGUUCCAAUCGUGAUGGAAUGGACGUAUAAUGUACGGUAUAAGAAUUUGGACGAGGCUCAUCUGCGUGGAUGGUUGUGGCUUGGCCGCCGGGCACACAAUCCAUUGAUUCACACAUAAGACCGUAGCCAUCUACACCAAGGCUCCUCUGCCCUACCGAGUCUUGCAAGCGAUCGUCGUAAGAAAUAUUCCGUGUGAUGCCGGCAUGUGUUGUUGUUGCACUGUCGCAACCAUCCAUCUACACACCAAAUGUCAAAACCGAGUCGCGGUGUUCACAAUGCUGGGCAUUAUUUAUAUAGAAGGACGAGGAGGAAGAUUUGGAUGACCAUAACCACAAUGGCAAGGGCAGCAACAUGGUCGUCACCUGCAAUGCUGAUGGGUGUUGACAUUAUGAUGUUUGGUUUAUUUGUUGAAAGUUACAGCCCAUGUUUCAUGAUUUAUUUGCCACCUGUUAAUCAUGAUAUUUUGAAGUGCUCUGACAAUUGCUUGCUGUCUGCAUCUCUUACUUUUCAACUUGCUGCAUAUACAGAUAUACACCAUUAGAAUCUGUUUGUACAAUAUAUUUACUUAUUCAACAUGCUUCGGUUGCGCUUCUUUGAAAAUCCAGUUGUAGAUUGCAGUGAAGCCCCAUUUAGAUCUUGGCUAUAGUAUUAUUCUUGUCUUAUGACUCGUGACAGAUUGAUAUGUGAUACAUGACAUAGCAUAUGUUGUACCGUGGUAGUCACAUUUGGUGGUAGUUCUGAUUGUUUGCUAGAUUACGAGAUAAGACCAAGUGCUUCUGCAACUCGGUUGCGGUUUUGAUAGGAACAUGAAGACUUGUGCCAUGCCAUGGAGCAUGUUUGAUUAAAAGGACAUAGUUGCUCCAAUAUAUUGAGCAGGGAAGAAGUUUGUUACAAGUGUUUUAUAGAGUUGACGCCAGAGACAUCCGACGGGAUACAUUGGUGAAGGAAUCGACGAAGAAGCUUCCGUUCAGCAUGGUAUCUCAAUGGAAGAAUAUCCGAAGCAAACCUCCGCUACUUCUCUGUUCCCUUUCAUUUGUCGUGGGAAGACCUUAGGAAGGUAGGAAGACCUUAGGAAGAGCGGGUGGGAGGAAGAGAGGCAUGUGCUAUAGAUGUAGGCGAACAAUGGUCCUUGGAAAUUAUUAGUACUCUACAAAAUGUCUGUCCCCUAUGAUGCCUACAAUGAGCGAGAGAGGGUGGAAGGAAGGGAGAGCGGAGGAAGGAAGAUGGGGAUAUAUGUAGAGAGAGAGGGAGAUAGGAGGAAGGGAGAUGGGCAUAUAUGUAGAGAGAGGAAGAUCAGAGAGGGAGGGGAGAUUUACAGGACGAUUGUCGUUGAGCCACUCAAAUAUUUUCGUGUUUCAAUGACGCGUGGAGGACGACGGUCACGAGCGCAUUGUCGCAAGCUCACAGGAGGGAGGCACACAUCUCAUCCAAUAUAAAAGCACGCUCCGAAGAAUCCCUAACCCUCCAUGGAGCCAUUGCUAGGGGGCGUCGAGAUCAACGCCACCCAUCACGACCACCGAGAUGUAGAAGUGCGGUGAUUUCUUGCCUGGCGUAUAACAAUGUGUGUUCAAUGGAUCGCCUCUUCUCACGCACAAGUCUCAGAGGGAGACAACGACAGCUAUUCAGAAUAACUACAACAAAAUUGUGACACAAGUGGUUAGUGGGAGAAGGAACCUGAUACCGCAGCCGAUUCUGCAGCAAGGGUGGUGCGUAGAAGAUAGUUGUAGCAAGCAUAUAUAUAAGUCACUCUGGAAAAAGUGUGUAGUUAUUGUUGUGAUAGAGAUCCAUUCCAAUAUUUUCACUGAUAUGCAUGGUUGAAUAGUACUAUGUGUGAUAUGUGAGAGUAAUGUAAUACAAAAUGAAACAUGGUGGACAGGGCUUCGUGACUGA